AUUGAACGCUGGCGGAAUGCUUUACACAUGCAAGUCGAACGGCAGCACGGGGGCAACCCUGGUGGCGAGUGGCGAACGGGUGAGUAAUACAUCGGAACGUGCCCAGUCGUGGGGGAUAAUGUAGCGAAAGUUACGCUAAUACCGCAUACGAUCUACGGAUGAAAGCGGGGGACCGUAAGGCCUCGCGCGAUUGGAGCGGCCGAUGUCAGAUUAGGUAGUUGGUGAGGUAAAGGCUCACCAAGUCGACGAUCUGUAGCUGGUCUGAGAGGACGACCAGCCCCACUGGGACUGAGGCACGGCCCAGACUCCUACGGGAGGCAGCAGUGGGGAAUUUUGGACAAUGGGCGCAAGCCUGAUCCAGCCAUUCCGCGUGCAGGACGAAGGCCUUCGGGUUGUAAACUGCUUUUGUACGGAACGAAAAGGCUCUGGUUAAUACCUGGGGCUCAUGACGGUACCGUAAGAAUAAGCACCGGCUAACUACGUGCCAGCAGCCGCCGUAA
rnacentral:rRNA from 1 species